CACGUAGGGGGCGAGCGUUGUCCGGAUUUAUUGGGCGUAAAGAGCUCGUAGGCGGCUAUUCAAGUCGAACGUGAAAUCUCGGAGCUCAACUCCGAAACUGCGUUCGAUACUGGGUAGCUAGAGUCUGGUAGGGGGAUCUGGAAUUCCUGGUGUAGCGGUGGAAUGCGCAGAUAUCAGGAGGAACACCGGUGGCGAAGGCGGGAUCCUGGGCCAGUACUGACGCUGAGGAGCGAAAGCGUGGGGAGCAAACAGG
rnacentral:rRNA from 1 species